rnacentral:rRNA from 1 species
UACAGAGGGUGCGAGCGUUAAUCGGAAUUACUGGGCGUAAAGCGUGCGCAGACGGUUGCGUAAGUCAGAUGUGAAAGCCCCGGGCUCAACCUGGGAAUUGCAUUUGAGACUGCGUAGCUAGGGUGCGGAAGAGGGAAGCGGAAUUUCCGGUGUAGCGGUGAAAUGCGCAGAUAUCGGGAAGAACACCCGUGGCUAAGGCGGCUCUCUAGUACGGUACUGGACGCUGAGACGCGAAAGCGUGGGGAGCGAACGAG